ACCUUCGUGGUGUAGUGGUCUGCAUGCUCGUCGUGUAACCGAGGGGUCCGUGGUUCGAUUCCCGGUGAAGGCG
rfam:Stegodyphus mimosarum contig65155, whole genome shotgun sequence.